UUUUUUUAUCCGUGGGGCACGGAUACAAAAAGGGGGGGUAAAAUGUGACAGACAGAGCUGUGGGUGGUGGUUUGUCCCUCAUGGUGUUCCAUAGUUUAGCAUUCAUGGCCAGCACCUGUCUGUUGAGCUGUGAUUGGCUCACAAGGCUGAUAAAUAGCAGCAGUGGGAGUUCCAUCUAGAUGCUGGUUUCCUGGUUUGGCCUUGGUGGUGGCAUGAGUUCUGACCCUGGGGCAUGAGAGUAUCUUGGUGUCUGGACCUGGCUGAAGGUGGCUGCCUCCUCUUAUCCUUAUGGUAGCUGGUGCUCCUGGUGAGAGUUGGAUCAGAGAUCUCCCUUGGUGGUGUUUGUGGCUACCCGCCGGUGCAGUGGGGCUGAGGCGAUCUUGGAGGCAGCCGCCCUCAUGCAGUGUUGGAGUGCGGUCCAACUGUCCGAGCCUAUUUUAACUUUCUCUUUUAUGGAACUUGUGUCAAGUUUUUAAUAAAUUAUAUGUUUUUAACCUAUCAAA